rnacentral:rRNA from 1 species
AGAGGGUGCAAGCGUUAAUCGGAAUGACUGGGCGUAAAGGGCGUGUAGGUGGCAAUAUGUGUCAUAGGUGAAAUCCCUGGGCUUAACCUGGGAACUGCCUAUGAAACUGUAUUGCUAGAGUAUAGGAGAGGGAAGUGGAAUUUCCGGUGUAGCGGUGAAAUGCGUAGAUAUCGGAAGGAACACCAGUGGCGAAGGCGGCUUCCUGGCCAAAUACUGACACUGAGACGCGAAAGCGUGGGGUAGCGAACAGGAUUAGAUACCCUGGUAGUCCACGCCGUAAACGAUGAGAACUAGAUGUUGGGUAGCAAGACUACUUAGUGUCGUAGCUAACGCGAUAAGUUCUCCGCCUGGGAGUACGGCCGCAAGGUUA